rnacentral:rRNA from 1 species
AUUGAACGCUGGCGGCAUGCCUUACACAUGCAAGUCGAACGGUAACGCGGGGCAACCUGGCGACGAGUGGCGAACGGGUGAGUAAUGCAUCAGAACGUGCCCAGUAGUGGGGGAUAGCCCGGCGAAAGCCGGAUUAAUACCGCAUACGACCUACGGGUGAAAGCGGGGGACUCGCAAGAGCCUCGCGCUAUUGGAGCGGCCGAUGUCAGAUUAGGUAGUUGGUGGGGUAAAAGCCUACCAAGCCGACGAUCUGUAGCUGGUCUGAGAGGACGACCAGCCACACUGGGACUGAGACACGGCCCAGACUCCUACGGGAGGCAGCAGUGGGGAAUUUUGGACAAUGGGCGCAAGCCUGAUCCAGCCAUGCCGCGUGCGGGAAGAAGGCCUUCGGGUUGUAACCGACUUUGUCAGGAGAACGACUCUGGGCUAAUACCCUGGGUAAUGACGGUACCUGAAGAAUAAGACACCGGCUAACUACGUAGCCAGCAGCCGCGGUAAG